GGAUGGGUGGAAGCUCCACUUCGGGAUGUUUUGGCCUUCGCAGCUGCCCAUCCA
rnacentral:tRNA from 1 species